GUGGGGAAUAUUGGUCAAUGGACGAGAGUCUGAACCAGCCAAGUCGCGUGAAGGAAGACGGUUCUAUGAAUUGUAAACUUCUUUUGUGCAGGAAUAAAGUGGGUUACGUGUAACCUUUUGUAUGUACUGUACGAAUAAGGAUCGGCUAACUCCGUGCCAGCAGCCGCGGUAAUACGGAGGAUCCGAGCGUUAUCCGGAUUUAUUGGGUUUAAAGGGUGCGUAGGUGGAUUGAUAAGUCAGCGGUGAAAGUUUGCAGCUUAACUGUAAAAUUGCCGUUGAAACUGUCGGUCUUGAGUGCAAAUGAGGUAGGCGGAAUGUGUUGUGUAGCGGUGAAAUGCUUAGAUAUAACACAGAACUCCGAUUGCGAAGGCAGCUUACUGGGAUGCAACUGACACUGAUGCACGAAAGCGUGGGUAUCAAACAGGAUUAGAUACCCUAGUAGUCC
rnacentral:rRNA from 1 species